CGUGCUCUGGGUGAAGGUCAGAUGCCCGGCGAUCUCGCUGAUCGCGAGCUCCAUCGCCGGAUCGCGGUCGCCGAACUUGA
rnacentral:tRNA from 1 species